rnacentral:lncRNA from 1 species
CUUCAGCAUUUGAUGAUAAUCGGAGAAUGUUAUAUAAACUGUUAACAGAGACGGCGCCAGAGGUGGCCUGGGGUUUAAACAGACAGGAAAUUUCAAGAACGAUCGUUAACUGCGCCUUUUUCGAUGAUAGGUCAAGGACAUAAGUUUAGGUAUCCAAAGCAUCUCCCUGACGCAACCAACCUCUGAAAAAGAGUUUCUGAUAUACCAAAUCAACCUGACAGAUAACAGAAAGAAAGCUUAAAGCUAAAGAGACAUCGUUCUGGAAGUUAAAAGGUUUGUGUGGGAAAAUUAAAAUUUUGGAUCAUAUUAGACAUUUGACCAAGCACAUUAUCUAAUAUUAGUGUUUAAUGGUUAACGAAUUGAAAUCUCAAAAAACAGAUUUUGAAAUAGCUGGUUGCAAGAGAUUUCAAAUUAAAGGAUUGUCACAAUCUUAUACAAAACAACUAACUCAAUUCGCCAGUUAAAAUAGCAAUUUAAUCUGCCAUUCAAAAAAAGAUAUGAAAAAAAUAGAUAUUCAAUCAACUGGUUAAAAAAUACUAAUUCACCUACUAAGAACUAAGUGAAAUGGCUAAUUCAACCAGCUUGUCAAACGGUCACUUCAAUCCACUAAUAUAAACUAAUUCAAUCAGUUGGCAACUAACCAAAACAGGUAAUUCAAUCCGUCAGGCAAAACAACUAAUUCAUUCUAUUAACAUUUUUUUUACUAGACAGAAGAGCUAACAACCAGCUCAAGAAACAACAUGAGAGAAAUCAAUGCUCACAAGAGAGAUCAAUUCAUUUGAUAACCAGUUUAAGAAACAAUAUAAGAGAAAUCACUACUCAUAAAAGAGACCAAUUCAUUCGGCAACCAGCUCAAGAAACAACAGGAGAGAGAUCACUGCUCAUAAGAGAGACCAAUUCAUUUGGAGGGAUAGAAAUUCAAUGGAGAGGGAGCAUACCAUUAUAAGCUUGUUUAGUUGUUUUGCAACCCAAAGUGCAAGAGCAUUAUAAUGAUGAGGCACAUACUUGAAGACGGUGGAAAAGUCGGAUGCUAUAUCUUUGAUAUCUUCAACCAAAACAACACAACUCUAGGAACGAUCAAAUUCAGAAGAUAAAAAAGUCGAUAACAAUUUUGCAAUCCGAUUCAACAAUUACAGAGGAUAAUUGUUUAUGACUGAUGAUUUGACAUGCUUCUCGAAUAGCUAUUAAUUCUUCAUGAAGUUAGGAAAUAGCUUGAGCACAAUAGCCCAAUCUAUCAACAAACUGCCCCGCAUGUUCUCCCUAUAACUCCAAUAGCUGCUGAGCUAUUUUUAAAAGCUCCAUCGCAUUUAAACUUCAUACUCGCAGGGAGGAAUACACUGCAAUGAAGAGUUGACUUUAGUCCUUCUAGACUCUAAACAUGAAGUUUCUCACGAAGAUAAAAACUCUGAGCUUCGACACUAGCCUUGAUGGUUGAAAUUGGGCAAAUCGGAACAUGUUCAUAAACGAAUUUUUUCUAGACACCACACAAACCAUCCCCCAAAAGCAAAAUUCGAAAGGAAGUACAAGAUAUCCUUCUUUUACUCAAACUUCGAUAUCAUAGAAGAUAAUAUCUGAACAACAGAAUUUGAAGGCAUGGAAGAUCCUAAAAGACUUAAAGAAGAGUAAACCAAACAAGACGAGUCCAAUCACACUAGAAAAACGCACAUGCUCCACAUUUUCUUAUUAUUACAUAUCGAUACGCUAAAACCACUAAACACCAACCACCAAAUUAACUAGGGCCACUAUAUAAUCUUAAGAGCAACCCCAAUUGCAUUCCCCAUAUAUCAAGACUAUCAGGGGCCUUUGACUGAUGGAAACGGAAAGGAA